rnacentral:misc_RNA from 1 species
GGGGAGGUUUAGAUUCGCUACCGUCAGCUGACCUCUUAACAGAAAGCUGUAGAAUAGCAUGUGACCUAGAUGAUUCCUCAUUGGCACCAGUGGUGCCAGUACUUCUAGUUGCAUUUCCUCUGUCAAUGAGCUCCUUAAUCAUCUCCACAUCAGAGACCCUGUAUUCUUGCAAUCCAACUAUACAUACUUGUUGUUUACCAUCCUCUCUCAUGCAAAGUUUCUUCCGUUCAUUAAGCAAGUCAUAGAGCUUUCCCCCAUAUAUCUCAAAAAAACUGAAAAACAAUUGAAAGCCCUGGUUCCGGUAUGUAUGAUGAAUGAGCCUCAAAAGAUCCCUAGAUGCCCUCAGAGGUAGUGGUUUCAUAGUAUACGUUUUGCCACUUCCUGUUUGUCCAUAUGCAAAGCAAGUAGCUUUUGUGCGUUGGAAAAUUAUUGGGAC